rnacentral:tRNA from 3 species
GGGCCGUUAGCUCAGUUGGUAGAGCAGCUGACUCUUAAUCAGCGGGCCGCAGGUUCGACCCCUGCACGGCCCACCA